rnacentral:tRNA from 1 species
ACAUUGGUGGUUUAGUGGUAGAAUUCUCACUUUCCACGCGGGAGACCGGGGUUUAAUUCCCAGCUGAGGCA